rnacentral:rRNA from 1 species
GACAGAGGAGCCAAGCGUUGUCCGGAUUGACUGGGCGUAAAGCGCACGCAGGCGGCUGUGCACGUGGGGUGUGAAAGGUGGCGGCUUAACUGCCACACGCCACCUCAUACGGCACGGCUCGAGCCCGUGAGAGGUCCACGGAAUUGCCGGUGUAGUGGUGAAAUGCGUAGAGAUCGGGAGGAACAUCUGUGGCGAAGGCGGCCAUCUGGACCAGCACUGACACUGAGGCACGAAAGCGUGGGGAGCAAACAGG